rnacentral:tRNA from 1 species
CGGGCCGUAGCGCAGGGGUAGCGUACACGCCUGGGGGGCGUGUGGUCGCUGGUUCAAAUCCAGUCGGCCCGACCA